rnacentral:rRNA from 1 species
CCUACGGGUGGCAGCAGUGAGGAAUAUUGGUCAAUGGGCGCGAGCCUGAACCAGCCAAGUCGCGUGAGGGAUUAAGGCCCUGCGGGUCGUAAACCUCUUUUGCCGGGGAGCAGAGGUCCGGACGUGUCCGGGCCGGGAGAGUACCCGGAGAAAAAGCAUCGGCUAACUCCGUGCCAGCAGCCGCGGUAAUACGGAGGAUGCGAGCGUUAUCCGGAUUUAUUGGGUUUAAAGGGUGCGUAGGCGGGCAUUUAAGCCGGCGGUCAAAUGUCGGGGCUCAACCCCGGCCUGCCGUCGGAACUGGGUGCCUUGAGUGGGCGAGAAGUAUGCGGAAGGCGUGGUGUAGCGGUGAAAUGCAUAGAUAUUAGGAGGAACACCAGUGGCGAAGGCGGCCUGCUGGACGACAACUGACGGUGAGGCGCGAAAGCGUGGGGAGCAAACAGGAUUAGAUACCCUAGUAGUC